UACGUAGGGUGCGAGCGUUAAUCGGAAUUACUGGGCGUAAAGCGCACGUAGGCGGCGCCGUAAGUCAGGGGUGAAAUCCCGGAGCUCAACUCCGGAACUGCCCUUGAAACUGCAGUGCUAGAAUCUUGGAGAGGCGAGUGGAAUUCCGAGUGUAGAGGUGAAAUUCGUAGAUAUUCGGAAGAACACCAGUGGCGAAGGCGACUCGCUGGACAAGUAUUGACGCUGAGGUGCGAAAGCGUGGGGAGCAAACAGG
rnacentral:rRNA from 1 species